rnacentral:RNase_P_RNA from 1 species
CGAGUCGGUCGGAUGAUCGCGGGCAGCAAUGUUCGAGGAAAGUCCGGACUCCAUAGGGCAAGAGUGGUGGAUAACGUCCACCUGGGGCGACCCACGGGAAAGUGCAACAGAAAGUAAACCGCCUAGAAAUAGGUAAGGGUGAAACGGUGAGGUAAGAGCUCACCAGUACUUAUGGCGACAUAGGUAGCUAGGUAAACCCCACUCGGAGCAAGACCAAGUAGCAGGUG